UGGGGAAUAUUGGACAAUGGGCGAAAGCCUGAUCCAGCCAUGCCGCGUGUGUGAAGAAGGUCUUCGGAUUGUAAAGCACUUUAAGUUGGGAGGAAGGGCAUUAACCUAAUACGUUAGUGUUUUGACGUUACCGACAGAAUAAGCACCGGCUAACCCUGUGCCAGCAGCCGCGGUAAUACAGAGGGUGCAAGCGUUAAUCGGAAUUACUGGGCGUAAAGCGCGCGUAGGUGGUUUGUUAAGUUGGAUGUGAAAUCCCCGGGCUCAACCUGGGAACUGCAUUCAAAACUGACUGACUAGAGUAUGGUAGAGGGUGGUGGAAUUUCCUGUGUAGCGGUGAAAUGCGUAGAUAUAGGAAGGAACACCAGUGGCGAAGGCGACCACCUGGACUAAUACUGACACUGAGGUGCGAAAGCGUGGGGAGCAAACA
rnacentral:rRNA from 1 species